rnacentral:rRNA from 1 species
AUUGAACGCUGGCGGCAGGCCUAACACAUGCAAGUCGAACGAGUGGCGGACGGGUGAGUAAUGUCUGGGAAACUGCCUGAUGGAGGGGGAUAACUACUGGACACGGUAGCUAAUACCUCAUACCCUCAGAUGUGCCCAGAUGGGAUUAGCUUGUUGGUGGGGUAACGGCUCACCAAGGCGACGACCCCUAGCUGGUCUGAGAGGAUGACCGGCCACACUAGAACGGAGACACGGUCCAGACUCCUACGGGAGGCAGCAGUGGGGAAUAUUGCACAAUGGGCGCAAGCCUGAUGCAGCCAUGCCGCGUGAAUGAAGAAGGCCUUCGGGUUGUAAAGUACUUUCGGCAGGGAGGCGUUACCCGCAGAAGAAGCACCGGCUAACUCCGUGCCAGCCGCCGCGGUAAUAC